GGGCCGUUAGCUCAGUUGGUAGAGCACCAGACUUUUAAUCUGAUGGCCGACAGUUCGACUCUGUCACGGCUCA
rnacentral:tRNA from 3 species